rnacentral:rRNA from 1 species
UACGGGGGGGGCAAGCGUUGUUCGGAAUUACUGGGCGUAAAGGGCUCGUAGGCGGCCAACUAAGUCGGAUGUGAAAUCCCCAGGCUUAACCUGGGAACUGCAUCCGAUACUGGAUGGCUUGAAUCCGGGAGAGGGAUGUGGAAUUCCAGGUGUAGCGGUGAAAUGCGUAGAUAUCUGGAGGAACACCGGUGGCGAAGGCGGCAUCCUGGACCGGCAUUGACGCUGAGGCGCGAAAGCUAGGGGAGCAAACGGG